rnacentral:rRNA from 1 species
UACAGAGGGUGCGAGCGUUGUUCGGAAUUAUUGGGCGCAAAGGGCGCGUAGGCGGUGCGGUAAGUCACCUGUGAAAUCUCCUGGCUCAACUGGGAGCUUGCAGGCGAAACUGCCGUGCUGGAGUGUGGGAGAGGUGAGUGGAAUUCCCGGUGUAGCGGUGGAAUGCGUAGAGAUCGGGAAGAAUACCCGUGGCGAAGGCGGCCAGCUGGGCCAGGUCCGACACUGAGGCGCGAAAGCGUGGGGAGCAAACAGG